rnacentral:sRNA from 1 species
UUUUGUCAUCCAAAAUUAAUUAGAGCUCAAAAGAGCCAUUCCUGAAGAAUUUUGUUUACAUAAGUGAUAUGAUGCGGUUGGACACGAACUUUACGCGCCAAAUUAUCCGCUUUGACAUUUGCACUACGAGAAAUUAAAGAUAAAAAAAAACUUGAAAAUUUUUUCUUGUCACUCUGCAAUUCCUCCAAAUACACUGAGAAAGCCGGUCAUUCGGUUGGGGAAGACAUCAUCUUCACCAGAUCCGAACAGUCUGUGAGAAACACAACAUCUUGAUUGUCGGCGCCAAUCAUGCACUUCAUCGCCCAUAGAAGAGCUUCCACUUCGGCAUGUAGUGGGGAUAGACUUCGUCUAAGGUUUGCUGCUCCCAUUGUUGGCGUCUCUCCAAUUGCUGAUGUACAGUACCAUCCUGUCCCAGAGAAAAAAUCGUCUUUUUUCCAUGACCCAUCCACGUAACAACGAUAUCCCAAGAAAUUGAUAUCAGGAUAGAUAUCCCUCGCUCUACUCCUAGAUCCGAAAUUAGGAGUUUCAUGAUUUUCAACAUGCAACUCAAUUUGAGCUGACUUCCAUGACUGUGCCUCACUUUUUGCGAAACAUAAUACCUUUAAGGGAUCUUUAUCGACAUUGUCAAAAAUCUUUUCAUUCGUUGCCUUCCAAAUAUACCAAAUUAUCCAUGGGUAUGAAAAAGAAUCAAAAUCCGAAAUAAUCCUCCAAAAUAAAUAAUCCAAAUUCGCAUAAAUAGAGGCAUAUGGAAAUAUUCCUGCCGCCGAAGGAAUCUGUGAAAGGGCCCAUAUCUGUCGCGCAGGGUGACAUUGGAAAAGUACAUGAUUAAUUGUUUCCUCUACGUUACCACAUCAGACACACCCUGAAUCACAAUUAAUACCUCUUUUCCGUAAAUUAUCUGUAACCGGCACACAACCCGCUAGAGUCUGCCACAAAAAAUGACGCAAUUUGGGCGGACACUGCACUUUCCAAAUGAAAGCUUUUAAAGCUUUGAUGUCUGGCCCAAUAAAGGAAACAUUUACAUCCAAAGUUUCUAGCUUUGCCGUAUGAUAUCCAGAUUUAACUGAAUAUUUUCUGGACUUUGUAAAGUGCCAACCAAGAGUAUCCUCCGUAGUUGACGCACCCAAGUGCAGAGCACUUAUUAGUGAAACAUCUUCUGGGACAAAAAGCUCAUUUAAUAAGUCAAUCUUCCAGAAAUUUGUUCGAGUGUCAAUAAGACUUUGAACUUUUAGGCAUGGAUCAAUAACUGAGCCAUUACUUUUUGCUGGUCUCGGGAAUUGAGUUGGAAUCCACGAAUCCUCCUAAACUGAAAUGGACGCCCCAAAACCGACUCUUUUAAUAAAUCCUUUGUUAACCAGAGAUCGAUCAGAAACAAUACUUCUUCAUCCAUAAGAUGGAGAAUAUAAUUUAAUAUUAUCCAACGGAUUGGAUUUUCGGUAGUACCGACCUUUAAAGACCUUCGCAAACAAUAAAAA